rnacentral:tRNA from 1 species
CGGGGUGGAGCAGCCUGGUAGCUCGUCGGGCUCAUAACCCGAAGGUCGUCGGUUCAAAUCCGGCCUCAA